CACGUAGGCACCAAGCGUUGUCCGGAUUUAUUGGGCGUAAAGAGCUCGUAGGUGGUUUGGUAAGUCGGAUGUGAAAUCUCCAGGCUCAACCUGGAGGGGUCAUUCGAUACUGCCAUGACUAGAGGUCGGUAGGGGAGUGUGGAAUUCCUGGUGGAGCGGUGAAAUGCGCAGAUAUCAGGAGGAACACCCGUAGCGAAGGCGGCACUCUGGGCCGAUUCUGACACUGAGGAGCGAAAGCGUGGGGAGCGAACAGG
rnacentral:rRNA from 1 species